rnacentral:misc_RNA from 1 species
CACCACUCAAGCCUCGCUUGGUAUUGGGCGAUAGGGCCUCCCUACGCCUCAAUUUCGCCGGCUGGACCGAACGUAUCUCAGCGUUGUGACAUCAAAUUUCGCUGGAAAAUACGGGAGGUUCGCGGCCGCAAACAACCCGGACACGCCGACUUUUGAUGGGAAGCGGCGAAGAAAGUCCAACCA